GGCUGCUUUCAUAAUCUUGCCACACCCAGCCUGGGCCUCACUGACAGUGGGCUGGGUUCCCCUGGCUCCUUGUGACUUCAAACACAGAAUGUGGCCACCCACGGAGAGAGACAGAACUCUGACUGUCAGCGCUGCUGAGCCAUGGAGUGGGCUGCUUCUGGGUCGGGAGCUCCCGUCCUUGGGGCAGACUCGGCCAUCCCUAGGACCUUCCUGCAGACCUUCCAGGUCAGGGGAGGAAACUGAAGAACAAAUAAGGAAUUUGUUGAAAGUGAAAAACUGGCAGCACUGGAGGUUGACAUUGCUGUCAUUACUUACACUAUGUAAAGUGCUACUAUUUAUGCGAUACCUGCUAUGUGAUUGUUAGGCACUCUGCAUCCUGCUCGCCAGGGUCCAAGGGAGCCUUCGUCGACUCCACUUUAGGCCGGACUAUCAGAACCCACCCUCUGUUUCCCAGCGGGUCUACGGCACUGACAAGGCGACCGGCAGAAAAA